CGAAAGAAAGAUUAAUACCCGAUGGCAUAAUAUUUCCGCAUGGGAUUAUUAUUAAAGAAUUUCGGUAAAAGAUGGGGAUGCGUUCCAUUAGGCAGUUGGCGGGGUAACGGCCCACCAAACCUUCGAUGGAUAGGGGUUCUGAGAGGAAGGUCCCCCACAUUGGAACUGAGACACGGUCCAAACUCCUACGGGAGGCAGCAGUGAGGAAUAUUGGUCAAUGGGCGAGAGCCUGAACCAGCCAAGUAGCGUGAAGGAUGACUGCCCUAUGGGUUGUAAACUUCUUUUAUAGGGGAAUAAAGUGAGCCACGUGUGGCUUUUUGUAUGUACCCUAUGAAUAAGGAUCGGCUAACUCCGUGCCAGCAGCCGCGGUAAUACGGAGGAUCCGAGCGUUAUCCGGAUUUAUUGGGUUUAAAGGGAGCGUAGGUGGACAUGUAAGUCAGUUGUGAAAGUUUGCGGCUCAACCGUAAAAUUGCAGUUGAUACUGUGUGUCUUGAGUACAGUAGAGGUGGGCGGAAUUCGUGGUGUAGCGGUGAAAUGCUUAGAUAUCACGAAGAACUCCGA
rnacentral:rRNA from 1 species